rnacentral:lncRNA from 1 species
AUCCACACAACGCCAUCGCCAGAGAGCCCACUCUCCCUCCCCCUCUCUUAGCCAAUUUCGCUGCACCACACGAACCCAUCACCGCCAGCCAGAACCCCCGGCCCCCGUCGCCAGAAUUCUCGCCGCCGCCGCCGCUGUGUCGGGCGGGUCCCAGGUCCCGCUCCCCCCUGGCAGAGUGCGCCGAUCUCCGCCCCGUCGCCGCUUCGCCGCGUCGCCGGUUCCGAUCCGAGUGGCCGGAGCUCGCCGGACGUUUCUUCCGUCGGGACUGGGGACCAACUCUGCCCGCUCUCGCGGAGUCGCUGCUGCUCGUCCUUGCGCAAUCUGCUCUGACUCGUUGUCGCGAGGAGUUGUUGCGCGGAAUUGUGGAGAGUUUGCCGAGCUGUAGCUGAGUAACCGUUGCUCUUCGCCCUCGUCGCUUGAGACCACAGCUUUUAAGCCUUUUUGGGUCACGAUCAGGUAAAGUGGAGCCCAGGUUCUAAACGGUUUUCUUGAAUUAGAGUGGGGAAAUGAGUUGAUCUUUACAUUUGGCGUGUGUGCCCUCUUUGAUCGUAGUCUCAAUCGCGUGGAGUAAUGCAUGCUUAGUCCAAUUGAUAUUUGAUCAAACUUAACUGCUGUUUGGAGUUGAGGGGAUUAUUCUUGAUUAAGAUUCUGGAAUUUUUUAUUAAGGAGAGAAAGUAAUGUCAUUUUAAUGCUAGCUCACCAAUUAAGGUUAGGAGGCAAUUCCAUGCUUAAUUACGAUCCGAAUCGCGAAUCUUGUCAUGAGGUGAUGUUAGCUGGAUGUUGGGUGUUUGCCGUUUAGAUUUAGUUUUGCCUAAUUGCAUGAUUCAAUUGAGAAAUGACUAGUUGGUUUGGAUUAUUGGUACUUUGGCAAAACACUAUUGAGGAUUGUCUGAUUGGUGCCAGUACAUACAAGAAAAGAAUGGGAGUUGUAUAGCCCAUAGAUACUUUCCUGGCUUCAGUAUUUGUACAGUGCUUGUCUGGAAUCUACUUGCUAUCCUGCAGAUUAUGCAUAUCUUAGAUUUUUACCAGUAGUUCUGAUGCUGUCAGUGGUUUUUGUUGCCAAUUUGAUGGCAAUAAGAGCUGCUUCCUUCCUUUCUCCAUCUAGAAAGGGAUUCAUGGUGGAUAGAUGUUGAUUGGUCCUACAAAGUUCUAGCAAAAGUAGUGACAAAUCAACCUCAGGAUUAGCUUCUAUUUUCCACAUCACCUCAUAGAUUAAGAGAAGAAGAGAACCAUUAUUUUAAUACUCUAUGGCUUUUCUUCUGGGAUAUUUGGGGUUGUGUGGAUAAAAGCGGUUAGCUUCUGAUAUUAGAAGAGCACCGACUAGGCGAUGUAGUGACAGAAAAUGCUCGACAAAUUGAUAUCUAUGUAUGUGUUCUCAGUUAAGUUUUUCUCUAUGCAUGCCAUCCUUUCUAUCUGAUUCUGGAAUUAAACUUUUUAUAUCAGGAUGUUCGUGAAUUCUGUGAAGAGACUUCGAAUUAUGAGGACUUCUGAGGCUAAUGGACUUGGUACUGAA